UGAGACUUCAGGUGGUUAAAGGUGUCCGUUCUUAGUUUCAGAGGGUUGGGCAUGUCGCACACCUUCUAAUGCAUUGACCGUCAUUUCACGGGCAAACGGGAGCCUGAGCUGUUUUUUGGCGCGUUAGAGAGUGUGGUGUCAGGGUUUCGCCGUUAGUCGGUUAGGUUGUGUGUAUCUUUCUGUCCCCCAUGUAGAGAUGUAUUAGCUAAUUGACCGCAGUGCCCGAAGCCGUUUCUGUUUUCGACCAUUGGCCCUUAAUGAUGUCUAUAGAGAAAAUUGUGUGUGCUAGCGUCGACAGGAACGUAGCAUGGUCAGGGUGUUGCGGUCAUUCCAACACACCAGGGGGUUGGGUGUGUGGUAUAAGGUUAGGCUAUCUAGACUGUGUCCCGUGUUUUCCGUAGCUGACAUUAGGUAGGUAAUUGCUACCCCAGAGGCGAUUUUGCUCGUUGGGAUAAACUCUCGUAAAAGCAGAGCCCCCUUUGAGCAUCGCAUAAGCGCGUGAGGGACAAAAAAAAACUGGAUGUGGAUUGGAGUGGAGGUGGUUGGCAAGCUUUUAGCUCCACGAAAGCGGUGUAUCUCAUACUGAAGUUUUUGUUAACCCAGAGGCGAUUUUUGCUCGUUGGGAUAAACUCUCGUAAAAGCAGAGCCCCCUUUGAGCAUCGCAUAAGCGCGUGAGGGACAAAAAAACUGGAUGUGGAUUGGAGUGGAGGUGGUUGGCAAGCUUUUAGCUCUUUUUUUACAAAAUGUACGACACGAAAGCGGUGUAUCUCAUACUGAAGUUGUUGUUUAACGACGAUUGUGCCCGCUUGUUGGCCAUGAAUGGCGUGUGCGUCUAUCCCGAGACGAUAUGGAACACGGAGCCCCAACUUUAUUGCCUCGAGUGCGGUCACAGUUAUACGGACUUGCUGGGCGAUUGGGGUAACUUUAAAAAGAAGUUGGCGUCAAAGAUUCGAGAACACGAUGCGGUCAACUCUGACUGCAGUUAUCGAGAAAAGCGAAUAAAUAAAUAAAUAAUUGAUCUUUA